GGCUCGUUGGUCUAGGGGUAUGAUUCUCGCUUUGGGUGCGAGAGGUCCCAGGUUCAAAUCCUGGACGAGCCU
rnacentral:tRNA from 1 species